UGUCACUAAGCCACCAUUAUGUGGCACACAGUAUGACUGAAUUGGGGUUCUACUCACCCCUAAAAGGUUAAAAUCCACCAAUCAUGAAGAUGUGCUGAGUGACUGCAGUUUCCUGCUUCUCUACUGUCCUGAUUCCAUGUGGAAACGCAGGCGGAAAGGAGUUCGGAGCCUGCUCUGCCACACUUCUCUCCAGCCAGAAGCGAACACUCCAUCGUCCUCUGUCCCCCGCAGAGGGGCGCCCACUCGGCUCGGUCCUGGGCAACACCUCUUCUCAGACGCAGCCGC
rnacentral:lncRNA from 1 species